GGCGCGAGGGGCGGGCCCGGCGCCGGGAGCUGCGCGCCAGGUGGCCCCCGGCAGGGAAAGGCGCGCCCGCCAGGUGUGUCCCGCGCGGGAGGACGGCGGGCGGACACAGGCGGAGCGAGUCUCCCCGUCGCGGGUGGUUGUCUGGGCGGACGUCUUCGGUGGCCUGAUCGCCGCUGGAAUAACUUCAAUCGCUUCCAGGGAGGAGCUGGCCACGUGAGACCCUCUGGCUCCAGGAGGUGCCCGAGAGAGCGAGAGGAAUGAGCGCCACUGGGUUAGGGUCUCCCCGACUGAGCUGGUCUCAGCAAGUGACGUCCAUCGUGGGGGCUCGAAUCCAGGUCAAAGGGUCACCAGAGCAACAGUUGGAACAGAAAACUAGCUGGAGGACACCCGAGUACUCUUAAAGCAAUCCCCGUGGCCAAAAUCAACAGCCAAUCUGGAUACCAUCAAGACAUCUCAAACCUUAUCACAAGCCAGAUGCCAAGGGAGAGACUCCGGGAAGAUCCCAAGGACCCCCCCGUUGCAGCCAUGUCGAGACUAACACUGAGGAGGACCCCAACUGUCACGAGCAACACCCGUCGAACACAGUCACCCACCUGGGGACAGAUCAAGAAGAUGUCACAGAUGGCAGAAGAAAACCUGAGGAAAGCGGGACAGCCAGUCACAAUGAAUAAUGUAAUGGUAGCUAUGAUAGCAGUUAUCACCACUGCCAUGAGUAUUCCUUCAAUAAGGGCUGUCUGCAGAUGUGGAUCCUGACUCCUGUGAGAAGUAGCUCACCAUGACAAAGCUGCCCUUGCUUUUAUCGAUUUGCAAAUCAGAGAAGGGAGACAUGUUGGGAGCAGCACCCCCCCCAAAAUCUGGCCAUAAACUGGCCCCAAGACUGGCCAUGAACUAAAUCUCUGCAGCACUGUAACAUGUUCAUAAUGGCCCUAACGCCCACGCUGGAAGUUCGUGGGUUUAUGGGAAUGAGGGCAAGGAACACCUGGCCCGCCCAGGGUGGAAAACCACUUAAAGGCAUUCUUAAGCCACAAAU